GGCAAGAUGGCCGAGUUGGUCCAUGGCGCGAGGUUAAGGUCAAUAAUCUUAACACGAUUUCCUCGUGGGGAAACCCUCGUGGGUUCGAAUCCCACUCUUGUCA